GAGCCCAUCUUCAGUCCAACCAACCUGAAACUACAAGUCCUAAUGCUUUUUCAAGUGCUUUUAUUCUUUCACCUUUCCAUCUGUGACCCAGGAAAGUGCUGUCCCUCCCUUCUUGUCCUUUACAUGUGUAGGUUUUCAUGCUGCCCUUCCUUGUGGCUGUUGCUUCUGCUGGUGAUGCUGUCAUGUUGAAUGGCUGUCUUGGCCGCUUUCCCUGGGGAUGGUUCAGUAGGAUGGGCAGCGUGUGUUGCAGUGGCAGCGAUCACAGAGGUGUUGGUAAUUGUUAUCAGCAAGGGCAGGAUGCAGGGAAAAGCAGUCUCCGAAGAGCUUGAGCUUCUGCAUCCUGCGUCUAAACAGUCCUGGUGGGGAGAGCAAGGAAGCAUGUAGGGCUGCCUGCAUAUGGGCAGCUGCAGUGCCAUCAAGUCUGGCCAUGUGGAGCUGAGCGAGGAGGGAGCUGUGUGCUGGGCACCUCGUGCCAGCCAGCGUUUGUGACCCCAGCGAAAGCUGGGAGCAGCGAAACCGUUGUGCAGCAGUGGGACAGCACACAUGUUUUGGAUGGAUUCUAGGUGGGCCGGCAUCACGCGUGUGCCUCUGACAAAGAUGAGUUUCACAUUGUCUGGUUUCUCUUUUUGUAGCUGCCCCUCCCAAGCUGAAGAAACUGAAAAGCCCAAACGUGCACGUUGGUGAAAAGAUCUCACUGAAAUGUGAGGCGACUGCUGGCAACCCUCAGCCAUCCUACAAAUGGUUUAAAGAUGGCAAAGAGCUGAAGAAGAGCAAAGACAUCCGGAUCAAGUAUGGGAAUGGGAAAAAGAUUUCCAGACUGCAGUUCAACAAGGUGAAGCUGGAAGAUGCUGGGGAGUACAGCUGCGAAGCGGAGAACGUUUUAGGGAAAGACACCGCAAAAGGCAGCCUGAAUGUGAGAAGUGGAACAACGAAAGCACCACAAGUUUUACCAGCCUCAGAAACUAAAAUAGUUGUUAUGGAAGAAGAGUGUAAGUACCUUUUCCCCCCACUCCCAUACAGCUUCUUUCCCCUUAUUUGUUUUGUUUUUAUGAGACAAAUUGCAUAAAUGCUUGAUUGCCUCCUGGAAUCUUCUUUAAUUG